GGGCAGCUCUUCGGAGUAGUAAGUGGCGACGGGUGAGUAAUACAUGGGUAACCUGCCUUUGAGAAGGGAAUAACCAGCCGAAAGGCUGGCUAAUACCCUAUACGGUCCCUAUCCCCUGGGGUAGGGAGGAAAGCUGCACCGUGGGUGUGGCGCUCGAAGAGGGGCUCAUGGCCUAUCAGCUUGUUGGUAGGGUAACGGCCUACCAAGGCAUCGACGGGUAGCUGGUCUGAGAGGAUGAUCAGCCACACUGGCACUGAGAUACGGGCCAGACUCCUACGGGAGGCAGCAGUGAGGAAUAUUGCGCAAUGGGCGAAAGCCUGACGCAGCGACGCCGCGUGGGGGAAGAAGGUUUUCGGAUUGUAAACCCCUUUCAGGAGGAAAGAUGGGGUGGGUAACCACUCGGACGGUACCUCCAGAAGAAGCCACGGCUAACUUCGUGCCAGCAGCCGCGGUAAUACGAAGGUGGCGAGCGUUGUUCGGAUUUAUUGGGCGUAAAGAGCACGUAGGCGGUUUGGUAAGCCCCUUGUAAAAUCUCCAGGCUUAACCUGGAACGGUCGAGGGGAACUGCCAAGCUAGAGGACGGGAGAGGAGCGCGGAAUUCCCGGUGUAGCGGUGAAAUGCGUAGAUAUCGGGAGGAAGGCCGGUGGCG
rnacentral:rRNA from 1 species